GGUUCAGUUAUCGGGUUAACCGUUAACAUUGAACAUAUAUACUUUAAAGUCCAAAGCUACUGUGGACUGCCUACUGCUUAGUGCUCAAAACUGUCCAGCACAAAUAGAACACAAAUUACAAAACAUUCAAACUAAUGUCACAAAUUUAAAAUUGUCUACUGGUUUGGUCUAGCACAAAUAGAAUAGGAAAAAUCCAAAGACCAAAACAAGUACUGGAAGC
rnacentral:lncRNA from 1 species